UCCUCCGUGGGCAUAACGGCAGUAUAUAAAUGAUGCUGAAAAGAAAUCUGGUCUUUUCAGGUUCCCGUACUGACGUGUCGAGGUGGUCGCAUCCCGGCGUAGAGGACUAGGAAUCGGGAGUCACUGGCCGUAUGCUGGAGGCUGGAGACGCGGGAGCGUGGCUUGCCUCGCUGCGGUUGUUGGCAGCGAUGGAGAUGGCGCGGCUGGAGAGUUGGUUCCUUUGGGUGGGUUCGUGAUCUCACUGACUUCAAGAAUGAAGCCGUGGACCUUCAUGUGCCAUCUGCUGCUGCCUCUGACUACUGCAUUUUCCCCCGUUUGCUUAGUCCACGCCCAGUGUGGUAAAAGAUGGGAAAGAGAAAGCCAUCCUCUCAUUAAAGUAAUUGGUCCGGCAUA